UUCUGUACGAUGCAUUGAGCACCAUAGAUCUGAUAAAGCCACAGCACUCCACACUCAUUACCACCGUACUAUUCGUUAGAUUCCAGCGGUGGCAGUGAUGUUGUUUCGAACGUUUUUCCAAUGUCCUCGUUCAAAAUCAGCCGCAAGUGAUGAAUCAAAGAGGACAAGGAACAUUGCGGAUGAUGGUGGCACUGCUCGUUGUAACUUCCCCUGCUCCUGAUGACGUGGGCUACGUUGGCGCUUAUGAUGUUGGUUCAGGUGCAGGGGCAGAAGCACAAGCAGCUGAGCAUGAUUCCUCCCUGUUUGUGAAUACGUACAGCUGAGAGUUCUGAUGAGAGAUCAGGUAUGGUUAGGGUCUUGGCUUUGGGUAUUUUACUUUCUAUGCAAAUUUUGCUCUGAUUAGCCCGAUUUUGCCAUUUGCCUCGCAUUAUUAGAGCGCCGUACGUCUCCCGCACCUACUGUACUGGUGACUGGAUUAUUCUGGUCUU
rnacentral:lncRNA from 1 species